AAGUGAGGAAGGAAAAGUGAGGAUAAAAUGGAGUGAAAUAGAAAGAAUGAGGAGAGCAGGGUUACUGAGAGACAGAGACAGAGAGGAGAGAAGAGAGGUAGAAGGUGAUUGUAGCACUAGUCUAUUCUGCCGCAGCCUACCGGGCGGGGGGAUUACUGCCGUGCAGCCCGGAGCUUGACGCGGGACGUUCCUGGUCUCGAGCACCGCGGAUAUACUUCGUCUGGCACGCGCAUGAUGAUAGAAAUGAAUAUGGAAUGAUAACGGCCGACAGCGGGAGAUGGGCAGGCGUUGAGAUCAGCUUUAACUUCCCCCGGUGGCGGCUCAGCUUCGAAAUGGAUGAGUUCCAUCCGUUCAUUGAGGCUCUGCUGCCCCAGGUCCGUGCCUUUGCCUACACAUGGUUCAACCUCCAGGCCAGAAAAAGGAAGUACUUCAAAAAACAUGAGAAAAGGAUGACUAAAGAAGAGGAGAGAGCAGUGAAAGACGAACUGCUGGGGGAGAAGGCAGAGGUGAAACAGAAGUGGGCCAGCCGUCUUUUGGCCAAGCUCAGAAAGGACAUUAGACCUGAAUGCAGAGAAGACUUUGUCCUGUCAAUCACUGGGAAGAAAGCUGCGUGCUGCGUCCUGUCCAAUCCGGACCAGAAAGGCAAAAUGAGACGCAUAGACUGUCUCCGACAAGCUGACAAGGUUUGGAGGUUGGACCUGGUGAUGGUCAUCCUGUUUAAAGGGAUCCCGUUGGAAAGCACAGACGGAGAGCGGCUGGUUAAGGGAGGCCAUUGCUCCAACCCAAUCCUCUGCGUCCAGCCCAGACACAUCGCUGUCUCCGUCAAAGAGCUGGACCUCUACCUCGCUUACUACGUACAGGAGAGAGAAGCAGAGCAGAGCAGCAGUCCCAGUCGAACAGGAGUGGGUUCUGAUCAGGAGGACAGCCGAACCACCACCAUGGAGGGUCCAGAGUUCCAGGACAGUUUUGUGACAUCAGGAGUUUUCAGUGUCACUGAGCUCGUCCAGGUAUCAAGAACUCCAGUAGUCACAGGAGUUGGACCUAGUUUCUCUAUGGGGGAGCUCCAGGGUCAUCUGGCCUACGAUCUGAACCAGUCUGUCAACCAGCCAGUCAGCCUCAGACGAUCACUGGCCAGUACCUCAUCCAGCGGGAGUAAGCGCCAUAAGUCUGGCUCUAUGGAGGAAGAGGCUGACAGUCCGGGGGGGGAGUACUACCACUCCCCUUCCUCUCCCGCCAGCAGCUCCAGGAACUGGACUGAUGACAUGGAAGGAGGUAACAGACGUAUAGUGUCCAGUGUCUGUACGUGGAGACAUGAAUGUCUAUCUCCACCAGUGAAGAAGGCAGAGCUGGACAACCCCUCUCCCCAGGAAGACUCACCAAGAAUGGGUUCCUUCACUCAGCACCAUCGGCCAGUCAUAGCGGUUCACAGUGGUCUUUCACGGAGUCCCCACCCCUCCUCAUCUAUACAUUUUCCACCUUCCUCCUACUUCCCCCACGGAGCAAUCCGCUAUCCUCCUCACCUGACCCAGGACCCCCUCAAAGAUCUGGUGUCAUUGGCCUGCGACCCUGCCAAUCAAACCCCCAGCUCACUGAAUGGCAGCAACCAGGUAAAAGUGCCCAGUCACUACAUCACCUCUCAGAUGUUGGCACCAACUGGACCAGCACCUUCCCUGGCUCCUCCCCCAUCCUCCCUCCCCAGGCCGACCCUGCCUGCGGAGUCAAAGGCUACCACCACCUCCUCUGAUGGGGGAGCAAACUCCCCCACAUCACCCACAUACUCGGCCCCUGGGACACCCCCUGCCAAUCGCACCUCCUUCGUUGGAGUCACCCCCCGAGACCCAGGUGGACUCUACCAAGCCCAGGUACAGUAGGAGCCAACUGGCGCACCUGAUUUAAAAAAAAACGUGUUCAUGCAGCGGUUCCGCUGGAAGUCUUGGUAUCUGGGCAACUGAUGGACAUGUGGAGGAGAGACGCUUGUCCUGGCAGUACGGUCCUGGAGGAAAGCAAACAAUGCUGUCAAGACAUCACAAGAGGGAAAAUAUAUUCAUCUUUGUAGAAGCAUACACAUAUAUAAAUAUAGUAUAUCUAUAUAUGUGUAUGGACCCAGAAGAGAUAGCCUGGUUGAAGAAGAUGCUGCUCUCACUCACAGCCAUGUGACACUCAAUGGUUCUCACCGACGUGAGUUCCAAGUGAAAGAAAAGGAGUGAUGUGGAUGAACUGGACCAGAACCAGGCCUCCAAACAGCAGAACCUAAGAAGCCUGUUCCCAGGAUGAGGCCUGUUUCCCUGCAAUGGAUUUCAGCCUUUACCCCUGAACCCUGGCUCUCUACACUAAACCCAGUACAGGACCUCCUCCCUGGGACAGAUAGACCUCAUCCCCCCCUCAACACCCAGAAUGCCCCUCUCCGCUGCAGGUGCUGCUUAUAAUAUAUGCAAAUAAGCCUCCCCUUUUUUCUGAACCGACUAGAAAGAGAGCUCCUGUUGUUGAUAUGUAAUGUUUCUUUUGCACUUUUUAUUAUUGCUAUGAAAACUUAGAGUUGAGACAGAGCAUUUCUUUCUCUCUUCCCACCUAAAGACAGAGGUUUUGUCUUUUUUAUUGACAAUCAUCGGCCUGAAACCAUUAAGUUGCUUUGCUAAGCUCAUGUUUUUAAGACUGUUUGAUUGUGCUUUUUUAUCAGAAAAACAAUGAGUAAUAGUGGAAUAUAAGAGCUAUAUUCAUGCCUCCUCCAACACGACACACAAUGCUACAGUUGGACAGAGUUCAAACCCCCCGACAUCCUGCUGCUUCCUUCCCUUCACACCUGAUCAUUCUGACAGAACUUUAGGCAGUUGCAACUGGCUGCUGAACUCAUGUGUUUGAGACUGUAGCAUGGUGUGUGUGUGUGUGUGUGUUUUGGUGUGUGUGUGUGUCAGGUUGUGUGAGAUCGGUUCCUGCAUUUCCACACUCAUCCCUGCUCUGUUUUGGGGAGCUGUGUUAGUGUCUCAGAGAACACGGUGUGGUUGGUUGAUCGGAAAGUGAUUGACUUGAUGAUGUGGCAUGUCACCGACUUAGCAGGCCGUAGCGUUUCCAUGGUUAUGGCAGCAGGUCAUGUGCAUACCUUGAAGUGAGCACAAUAUCCAGGUUUGUUGUCCAGCUGUACAGAGUGGUGUUGACAGGACUGUGGAAAUGGAUAGCAUUAGGGUUAGGGUUAUUGUUAGGGUUAGGCACAGUGCUUUGUCACCAGUCAAGCCCUGAUGGUUUAACAUUGGCAGCAGUCAACAGAUCAAGCAUUUCAUACCAGAGUUUCCUUGCUCUCCUGUGUCCAACGCUGACACAAUAUUUGCAUCAAGUGCUUUAAUGGAGAAAAGCAAUAACUUGGCUUUUCACAUCUUAAUAUAUUCAACUAUCUUUUGAAACAAAUGUAAUAUCUUUCAUGCUGCAUCUUAUCUUUGAUUAGAAUCCUCUUCAUCACUCUUAAGGUUAGCAUUUAUUAGAAUCCAAACAUGAAUCACCAUAUAGCUCGUAGUUCAUAGAACAACUCGUUCAGUCUGUGUGUAGAAAGAGAAUUUAAUUAUGAAUUCAAUAAUCUUUGACAUUUGUCUGUAAAAUUCAAUGCAAAUGUGCGCCCUGGCCUUUUGCUAUCCCGCACAUGAUCUCUUUGGGGAUAAAAACAUUAAAUAUAAUAGAUUUUUAAGAUGUAAUAUUUUAUAAUCUGUGCCAUAUUUUAGUCUCCAAGGCUUUUCAACUACAGGGCAGUCUAUUGAAAUAUGUUGCCGGGGAUGUGGAUCAGUGUUAAGGCGUGGGCAGAUUGAUCUCAAGUGUUUCUGAAGAUGUUAAUCAGACUCGUCUCAGAAGUGGUUGCACACUGUCUUUGGAAAGAUUAAAGGUUUUCUAAUGUCAAGCCAAAAAAAUUCAAUAUUUCCAACCACUGCCGUAGUCUGAGUGUCAAGUUCAGAAGAGUAGCAGUGUUGCACAGCUAGUGGAAAUAUUGGAUUUAUAUAUUGGUUUCUCUUAUUAUUUAAUGAAAGCACUCCUUGAAAAGGGUGUUGGCUGUAGUUAAAGGACACAUUUUGAAAGGUGCUAAAGGAGUAACGCUGCAUUCACAUGAUACGCCAUUUGCUCUUUGCCCACCACAAGGUUUGGCACAAAGCCUGGAAGCUAGUUAAAGGGGCUCUAUUAUGCUUUUCUGGGUGUUCCCUUUCCUGUAGUGUUAUAUAGGUUUUUGUGCAUGUAAACGGUCUGCAAACGCUAAAAUCCCCAAAUUCCCCCCAGAGGGAGUUUCUCUUCCACACUCCCCCUCCCCCCCCCCCUGUCUGGAACGCCUCGAUUUGACUCAUUUGUUUACUUUUACGACACAGUGACAUCACUAUGUAACAUUGACGCUUAAAUUGGCUGGCGCUCCAACACAUUGUAGGUGAUAGGCUAAGGGGCGGGACAGCUCUAAGCUUCUGUCCAAUAAAAACGGAGCCGGCCAGCUAACCAAUCAGAGAAGUCUGGGCUCUGGUUUCAGACAGAAUAAGACAAAAAUAAAGAGCUUUUUGAACAUUAAAGCAUUUAACAUGUCAAAGUAGAGGCACAAAAUACAACUAUCAACCUGAAAAGGAGAAGAAUAAGGCCCCUUUAAGUUUUCUUUCUAGUGUUAUGUCCCCUGCUAGGGGUUAGCAGUAUUCAUGGUCAUAGUUUAAAUAAUUUGAACUUCGAGCACAGCAGUCUGCGUACAUUUUGAGCGGUGCGCAAAGCCUAGGGUUGCCAGGUCAUGCGCCACCACUCUUUGCGUAGAAACACAAUGGCAACGUCAGCACAGAGACACGAUUACCGCGUUUCAUGUGAAUGCAACUUAACACUCAGACAGUUCAGUAAACAUCAGCACACAGCCUGGGUGUGCUCGUACCACAGCUCCAUUUCCCUCUCAUAUCUUUCCUUUCUCUUUGUUUUUUAGGAUGUAAGUGUCAAACUGUGUUGGAACAGGUGUGAUCUUUUUUUCCACUUGCACGUGUGAAGGAUUGGGUUUGCGUUCUGAUCACAAGUUGUCCUUUGCUUUUUCUUUCCCCAGGGUUAGGGUUUAGUGAUUUUAUAUUGAAGGUGCUGAUAUGAGCUGGGUUUUGGUUAAAGUUGGCUUAAAGCUGAUGUAUAAUGCAUGGUGCUGCCCUGGUGUCUGUGUUGACCUAAUGAAUGCAUGGCUCAAACUGAUGAUACCUCUCCCUCUCUACCCUGCGCCCCCCCCCUUCCUCCCUCCGACAGCAGACAGCAGUGGAUCGAAGGGCUGUCUAUUUCUUUACACUUUAAUAAUAGCCCUGUUAUUAUACUUCUAUUUUGCACGAUAUUUCAUAAAACACAUUAUGUGCCUUGCCUUUAGUUAAAGAACAAUAAUACAUUAUAUAAAGUGAUUAUACUUUUCAUGGUACAGCUGGUAGCACUUAUAAAACAAAAAGAAAAAAAGCUGCAUGUGUGGUUGCUUGACAUUAACCAGUGUAGCAGUGUAUUAAAGAAAGCUUACUUUAGCUUCUGCGCCCAACUAAAGGCAGCACUGUUUGACAGUGGAAGGAAAAGUCCACAUUUUGGGGAUUACAUGUGCCUGUUAUCAGACUCAGAGUCACAUGACUUGCCUCAGCCCGCACACAGUAUGGACAUGUUUAGCUCAGAUAAACAUGUUGCCGUUGCAUUCAAGUACAUCUUCCACUUUUCAUCACUUCGCCACUGACAAGGGUCAUAAAGCACUGUCCUGCUUCAAGGAGGCUGUAUCAAAUCUAUAAUCUGAUCACAUGACCCAAGAUAAUUACUCAAUGACAGAUAAGCAAACUGAGAUGUGUGAAAACUCAGAAAGUGGACACUAAGUUAAGUUCAACAAUGAACUGGACACAGAAAGUUCUUAUUAGAAGAUCUUUUUCUGGGUAAAACUAGAAAAAGCAACUGUAGCUCCCAAAUUCAUGGACUGUUCCUCUAAGUGUUGAUUUUUCAAAGACAUCCCCCCUCGAUGAUUUUGUUUUCAUAGCUGAUAAUGAUGCAAACCCAUGGAUAAUAUUUAUUGCAGGGAAAAGUCUUAUACCAUAUUAUGAAUAUUUUGUGGCCAAGCCACUGAAUCCCAUGUAAAGGAAACAUGUUAAACACUCUGCAGCACUUACACCGUCCAUUUGCCUGAAUGGCGACUUUGUGACGAAUGUGAUCGAAUCAUGUGAUAAGAUACUACUAAGGUCAUAGAUGAGUUUGUGUUUAAUAUGGAUGCAUGCACUUAACACUAUUGCUCUACUUGGCUUUUAGGUUAUAUUUUAGUUAUUUCUUGAGUUUUUAUUGUUAUUAUUUUGCUUUUAGCAUUAGUUUUAAACAGAACCGUGUGUGCAUAAAUAUGUACACUCGUAAAAAGGAUACAAAGGAUGUAUAGAAUGUUACAGCGUGUCAUGUUUUCUCUUAAGAUGGUGGCCAAGCCGCACAAUGAGGGACCCAUGAAAUGGGAAAGGUUUAGCCCUGAGAGGGAUGAUGAAUGAUGAAGGUGAGAAUUGUAGAUGGUGAGAAUUGUAGAUGGAGACAGACAAUUUUGUAGUCAGUCUAAGUAAAAGUUACUAGAAAGUUACUAAACUAGAAUCCAUAGAUCCACUCAGACUGCACAAUCUGCUGUUACUGUUUAGAUUCAAGUACACAGUGAUAGACACUGAAGUCACACUGAUGGCAGCUGACAGCAACGUCCUCUCCCAGGACCAGGAUCAAGUCCUAGAUCAGAUCCUAGGUCAGAUUCUGGUUUAGGUCCUGGGUUAGAUCCCCGAUCAGAUCCUAAGGUACACCCAACGUUAGAUAGUGGAUCACGUCCUGGGUCAGAUACAAGGUCAGGUCCCGGAUUAUAUCAUAGGUCAGAUUCUGGGUCAGGUCCUGCGUCAGAUUCUAGGUCAAAUCCUUGGACAAGACCUGGGUCAUGUCCUGGGUAGCAUCCUAGUAACGUCCUGGGUCAGGUCCGAGAUCAAAUCCUAGGUCAGGUCCUGGGUCACAUCCUAGGUUAGAUUCUGGGUUAGAUUCUAGGUUAGGUCCAAUAUCUAAUAAAUACAGACAUUUAUAACAUUAUAAAUAAUAUCUCGAAAAACAAAAGUGUGCUGAGUUGAGAAUAUUGUGCUCAUCACAUUGUGCUCUCCUCACUUUCUCCGCUCUAUUCAAAUAUACCAGCAUGUUAAGGACAUGGAAAAUGAAAAAACAAAACAAGCAGUGCCUAUCAUUUUACUGCAAGCUUUAAGUUAUGUUGUAUGCUGUGUUCAAGCACUACAUGAUCAUGUGACACACUCGUAUGGUGCUCAGCCCUGGCCUGGGGAGGUGGGCUGUGCAGGUCCUGAGGUAACAAGCCAUAAAACAACCCAAAGAGCUGAAGAAAAUCUAGAGGAAACACUGACAGACUGUUCAUAAUGCUCAGUGGAUUCACCAUUCUUCAUUUAGGCUGGCGUAUGUUCAGGGACGGACCUGUGUCCUAUUUCUGCCUCCUUUCAGGAUUACACUAGAAAAAGGCUGUCCUGUUCCAAAUGCAGCUAAAAGAUGUGGUGGUACACUUCACACAAGGCUACCAGAGCAGAACAUUAUUGAUUUUUGUAUACAUUAUUGCAUCAUACUGAGUUGUUACUUCACUACCUUGUCAUUAUUGUUGCUUUAUCUUCUCUAGCUGUUAUGGUUUGAGGUUCUGGAUACGAAUGAAAAACAACAGCCGGUCUGGACACUAAGGAUCUCCUUUACUACAGUAUGUUUCGCCGCACAUCUUUGUACCUAUACAAAUCUAAAAUAGAUUGCUGAAAUGGAAUUGGGCAUUUGUUGAGUAGAGAAAUAGCCAGAAGCAGAUAUAUUAAAACGUAAUCCCAUCUAUCAUAGUGAGAAAAUAUAUGUAAAUAACAUCUUUAAUCAACUAUAAAUUAUGGGACACAUAAAUGGAGAUUAAUUUGUCAUAAAGAAAAACGCAUUGUUUUUUAGUGAUUAUGUUCAGCAUCCUUUUAGCAUUUAAAGUGAAUUAAAUACUAAUGAAUUGAGAUCCAGCAGAUACUUUACAAUCUAUCAUUUGUUAUCUUGAAUAUUUUAUAUUGGAUAAAGUCGGUUAUCGGUAAGUGAUUCUUUUCCAUCACUUUGUUAAAGAGGCGCAGCCAAUGCAACAGACUUGGUCCUCAGUGGUGUGGUGGCUAUCUGCUAGCACCGCUAGUUAGAGGUUAACCUUAGUAAGGCUGAACAACCUAAGGAUAGAUCCAUGACCACAAACUAUGAGACUGAAAAAGCAAGUGAGACCAAGAUCCAAAGAAACACCUCGUAUUGCCACAACAACCUUUUUUUGAGGUUGUAACUUCUACGAUGUAUUUUUAAGCAGUUCCUAAUUUCAUCCAUAAUAUUUUGGACUGACUUUGGUUUGUGAACCUGUGUUGAGUGUUACUACCACACCUUUAUGUUGCUUCAAUUUGAAACCAGUGUAUCCCAUGCAGUAGUGUUAACAAAUCAGUAGAACUGCUUGUAGUUUUUCUCUGAUGGCAGGUUCAUGAAAAAUAUGCACCGUAGGAAUGGUUUCUAUGAAAACACCUCAUCCAAUAUCUGUCAAAUGUUCUAAUUUGUGUUAUCCAUUGGGAUAGAGUUUGGUGUAAAGUUCCCUCUAGAUUUGUCUUUACUCUGUGGUACUAACUAAGUGCUGUUCUGACCACUGUUAGCAGAGAAUUACCAAAAAUGUUGUAUCAAAAUCAUGCUUUACUUUGGGUUGGGGUAUUGUAAGUGAACGGUAGUGUUGCUGUUUGUUAGCAGCUGAUCAUCUCUGUCUGCAUGAGAAAGAAAGGAUAUCUAUACAGUUUUUGAGGGCUCUUUUCUAUAAAUUAUUAUUCAUAUUCAACCUGAAAACCUCCUAUAUGUUUCUUUUUGCUUUUUCUAAGUUGAAUGUCUUUUUCUGUAAUCAGACUCACAGCAGUUUGAAAACCUCUCUUUAUUACCUAAAAUCUGUUUUUUGAUAUUGUUUUCCUGACAUAUUGAUUCCUUUGUUACCUGUACACCUGUUUACUCCAUGUGCUGAAGACGGUUUAUAAUGAACAAAAACUUUACAUUAGAAUGCAGUUGCAAUUUUUUAAGCAUUUAUUUCUCUAACUUUUCAGAUACUAUAAUGGACUGCUUUGCUUGCUUUCAGAAAUAUAUAUCCCUUACAUCAGAGAGAGCAUAAAGCUUUCAUCAGUUAUUGCAUGACUACAGUCCCCAAAGACCACAGCCCUUUUACAUGAACUGUACAUCAGGACAUUAUAUAUGGGAGUCUUUGGCAAUCAAGAAAAUCAGUUCUUCCAAUACCUCAAAACAAUAUAAAAGACUGAGAGCAAGUCUAUUAUUUUCCAUAUUGGAAUAGUGUGAAUUAUCAUACCACUAAUACCACAUCCUAUAGUACCGUUUAAAGAUAUGAAAGUUCUUUACCAUAACUUUCUUGUCCAAUUAAGUUGAUAUGCAAUUACAUUUCCCACCUGACAGCCAAUCUGAAACACACAAUAAUGUAUGACUUGCCAUCCCAAUAUAAGAAAAUGAUAGCAUAGGUAGAGGCCAGUAGUGUUUCUUUUGUUCCAGAUUGAUGUUCACUGUGGAGAGGGCUGUAGCUCUGGACUGGAUGUAGUUUGUAGAAGCUUGAACCUUUUCCUUUGGAAGAUAAUGUCAAUAAUCAACCUUAAUUUGCAUGACGUAAACUUUUCCUCUAAGGCUGCAUUAAGACAGGGACUUCUGACAACUUUCUGUUCCUGUUUGUUUGACUGACAGCUGUCUGAACCAGUGUUUCUGCCCUAAUGUUAUUCUGCUGUGGGGGAUACCAACAUAUUUGAUGAUAUGUCAUUAUAACCAUACUUAGCCAUUGCUAUCAGCAAAUGCUGAUUAUUCAUUACUGGAAAUGAGUAUGUUUCCCUAUGCAAAAAUAUACCAUUAAUAAACAAGCUAUACCACAACUCA